CUCAGGAUGAACGCUGGCGGCAUGCCUAAGACAUGCAAGUCGAACGAGGUGGCCCACAGAAUUUGAUAGAAGCUUUGAGAGCUUGCUCGAGAAGUGGAAAGAGAAGGACGUGGAAUUUCCACCUAGUGGCAAACGGGUGAGUAACACGUGGGUUACCUACCUCUUAGAUGGGGAUACCAAUUGGAAACGAUUGUUAAUACCGAAUGUGAUCUACGGAUUAAAGGAAGCCUUUAAAGCUUCGCUAAGAGAUGGGCCUGCGGUGCAUUAGAUAGUUGGUGGGGUAAGAGCCUACCAAGUCAACGAUGCAUAGCUGAACUGAGAGGUUGAUCGGCCACACUGGGACUGAGACACGGCCCAGACUCCUACGGGAGACAGCAGUUAGGAAUAUUCGUCAAUGGGGGAAACCCUGAACGAGCAAUGCCGCGUGAACGAUGACGGUCCUCUGGAUUGUAAAGUUCUGUUGUUUGGGAAGAACGGCUCUAAUAGGAAAUGAUUAGAGAUUGACUGUACCAUUCAAGAAAGCCACGGCUAACUACGUGCCAGCAGCCGCGGUAAUACGUAGGUGGCGAGCGUUAUCCGGAUUUAUUGGGCGUAAAGCGUCCGCAGCCGGUUUAUUAAGUAU
rnacentral:rRNA from 1 species